rnacentral:rRNA from 1 species
GAUGAACGCUGGCGGCGUGCCUAAUACAUGCAAGUCGAGCGAACGGACGAGAAGCUUGCUUUUCUGAUGUUAGCGGCGGACGGGUGAGUAACACGUGGAUAACCUACCUAUAAGACUGGGAUAACUUCGGGAAACCGGAGCUAAUACCGGAUAAUAUUUUGAACCGCAUGGUUCAAAAGUGAAAGACGGUCUUGCUUUCUCUUAUAGAUGGAUCCGCGCUGCAUUAGCUAGUUGGUAAGGUAACGGCUUACCAAGGCAACGAUGCGUAGCCGACCUGAGAGGGUGAUCGGCCACACUGGAACUGAGACAGGGUCCAGACUCCUACGGGAGGCAGCAGUAGGGAAUCUUCCGCAAUGGGCGAAAGCCUGACGGAGCAACGCCGCGUGAGUGAUGAAGGUCUUCGGAUCGUAAAACUCUGUUAUUAGGGAAGAACAUAUGUGUAAGUAACUGUGCACAUCUUGACGGUACCUAAUCAGAAAGCCACGGCUAACUACGUG